AGCGGGGUAGAGAAAUUGGCAUCUCGCCAGGCUCAUAACCUGGAGGCUGUGGGUUCGAAUCCCACCCCCGCAACCA
rnacentral:tRNA from 1 species